rnacentral:rRNA from 1 species
GAUGAACGCUGGCGGCGUGCCUGAUACAUGCAAGUCGAACGCUGGAGAUCUAGCUUGCUAGAUCGAAGGAGUGGCGAACGGGUGAGUAAUACAUAAGCAACCUACCCACGAAGACUGGGAUAAUCUCUGGAAACGGGGACUAAUACCGGAUAGGUAAUCGGAAGGCAUCUUCUGGUUAUUAAAGGUUAAAAACACUGGUGGAUGGGCUUAUGGCGCAUUAGUUAGUUGGUGAGGUAACGGCCCACCAAGACGAUGAUGCGUAGCCGGCCUGAGAGGGUGAACGGCCACAUUGGGACUGAGACACGGCCCAGACUCCUACGGGAGGCAGCAGUAGGGAAGGUUCGGCAAUGGGGGCAACCCUGACCGAGCAACGCCGCGUGAGUGAAGACGGCCUUCGGGUUGUAAAGCUCUGUUGUAAGGGAAGAACGGUAGAUAGAGAAUAUCUAAGUGACGGUACCUUACCAGAAAGCCACGGCUAACUACGUG